UACGAAGGUGGCAAGCGUUGUUCGGAUUUACUGGGCGUACAGGGAGCGUAGGCGGUUGGGUAAGCCCUUCGUGAAAGCCCCCGGCUCAACCGGGGAGUGCGGCUGCGAACUGGGUUUCUUGAGGACGAUAGAGGAGAGUGGAAUUCCUGGUGUAGCGGUGAAAUGCGCAGAUAUCAGGAGGAACACCUAUUGCGAAGGCAGCUCGCUGGGACGUUACUGACGCUGAGACGCGAAAGCGUGGGGAGCAAACAGG
rnacentral:rRNA from 1 species